AAUAUUUUACUUUGAUUUCUUAUAUGAAUUUACAUUUAGAGUGAAGCAUAUGCAUAUAGUUAAUGCACUAGCCCAUAUAUUUGCAACUUCAUCGCGAAAACUAGAUGCAACAAUUUAAACAAAUUUUCAGCUGGGUUAAAGUUGUUGAGAGUCGGCCCCGCUGGGUGUCAAAAUUCGCGGCCCGAGUGAACUUUCAGCGGGCGGUGCACUCGUCUAUCCAGUACAGAUGAAUUUCGUUUGUUUGGCUUAUGUUUGGGUGGUCAUCGUUUUAAUGGGACACCUACUAAGUGAGCAUUAGCUCAACCAUGGCAUAAAGAUCACAAGGCAGGCUAGUAACCUAUGUAAACGUCUGUUUUGAAUGUAAACAUAUGACGUAGUUCUUAUCGUCUUCCACGUUGAUCAAAUUGGUAUGGAGUACUAGUUCGCUUAUGAACGAUUUGAAUUACGUCAUCAAAAAACUGUCAGAUUUCGGGAAUAUAUCACCUUCUGUACACCGUGAGCUCAACUAAGUCGAAAUAAAAGACAAAAGCAGGAGUAUGACUGUCUAAAAUGUAAAGACUCGCGUUUAUCAUCCGGUAUUAUUCCAAGUAAACUUAAUCUCAACAAUUUGCGUUGGAGCACGGAAUCAAUGAAACGUUAUUUAGGGUAUGUGUGCCAUCAGUAAUCUUACGCUCCCAUAUUCAUCCUAUUCAAAAACAAGCAAUUACGGCACCGAUUGAUUCCGUUCUUUUUGUGUUCAUGGGUGCUCACUUCUAACAAAAAAUAAAAAAAAUAUGAAACAAAACAUUAAACAAACAACGCUUCAAUCCUUUGUUUUUCGUAGGAUGAAAAUGGAAGCCAAUACCCUAUUUGAUUCACGAUUGAACUCGGUUAAAAAGUCAAGCAAAAUUCAUUAGGGGUACUCACUAAACAGAUUAAAUUGCUGCGUAAGCCAUGAUUUUCUGCUUAUUUGAAAUGUUUCAUGAUUUUGCGAAUGAAAUAAUCAAAGAUUGCCUUGAUGAUCACGACGUUUAAUCAGUUUACGCUGUUAAGGGUGUGAACCAUUUCGCUUGUUCGUUUAACUUUUAGUUAAAAUUUGACACUUCGAUAGUUAUUUUGAAAAUAACCCUACUCGCGAGCAGGGUUAGUCUUGACAGUUCGAUAGUUAUUUUUUGUUCGCAAUGAUUUGGCUGCGUACUGUAUUUUGUUCCAAAUAACUACUUCUCUGUCAAAUUUCAAAUGGGCCACCGUCGUGGUUAUUUUUUUAACUUUUCGAUGGCAAAUAACUAUUAGUAUGGUACACGCUAGUAUGGAAAAAAUAAAUCCUCGCUCCAGUCGACUUUUUAGAUCCCAUUUAGGUCCCAUAUGAACUCUACAAAAUUUCAGCGCAAUCGGUGAAACUAUAAUUUAGCGCAAGCGGUUCAAUGUUUUCAUAGGAUUUACUAUGGGAAAAGUUAAACUUUCAGAUAAAAAAUCCCAGAGGGAGUCCCUUGUCUCCUUAAUUCAAAUCGAUCAAUGUUUCUUGUAGAAAAAUCAAUUAUGAAACUUUCCUUCGAAGACCGCAAAACAAUUGGAUGCUUGUGGAAAAAGUUAUUGAUUUAUUACCGAUCAGUGAUCCAACGAACGGCUUUUUAUUUUGUUUUAUCAGCAGCACUGCUGCUGCCGUUGUUGCAUGGGGUGGCGGGAGGCAUCACCACCCCCAGAAACAGCAGCAGCCAAGGCAGCACCUACAGUGCUGCUAAUAAAACAAAACAAAAAGCCGUUCAUUGGAUCACUAAUCGAUAAUAAAUCAAUAACUUUUUCCACAAGCAUCCAAUUGUUUUGCGGUCUUCGAAGGAAAGUUUCAUAAUUGAUUUUUCUACAAGAAACAUUGAUCGAUUUGAAUUAAGGAGACAAGGGACGCCCUCUGGGAUUUUUUAUCUGAAAGUGUAACUUUUCCCAUAGUAAAUCCUAUGAAAACUUUGAACCGCUUGCGCUAAAUUAUAGUUUCACCGAUUGCGCUGAAAUUUUGCACAGUUCAUAUGGGACCUAAAUGGGAUCUAAAAAGUCGACUGGAGCGAGGAUUUGAUAUUUGUCCCAUACUAAUAACUAUCCAAGUGUCAAAUUUUAACUAAAAGUUAAAUGAACAAGCGAAAUGGUUCACACCCUAAGUGAAUUCCCCUAUUGAAUUUGAAUUCGGAAAGUCUUCUUUUAUUUUCAUCACACAUUUGGGAAAACACAGUGCAGGUGAUCAGUAAGCGCGGCAACUCACUCAGCGUCAUAACUCCAGAUCGUGCGAUAUUGGUGGGAUUCAUCGAGGGUUACACUAUCCAAGGAUUGUGUUUAGUACAUCUACGGUAGUCUGUUAGGAGAUUCCGAGUCAGUGGUACCAGCUGGAUCUCUGUACAAAAAGUAAGCUGGAUCUCUGUCUUCGUGAGUUGGAUAAUCAUCUUAUGCCCAUGAAAUGCCUAUCGCAGGAAUACACAUUUUUUGUGACCUGAAUGGACCAAGUGAUAAACCAUCCAAAUUCACCUUUGCCUGGAAGAGUAAGAUGAAAAUAUUGAGGAACAAACCUUCGAAUACGUCCAUUACAAUUCUCUAAAUUGAAAAAACACUGCCCCUGGAGUUUUCUUCCAUGAUGGUCGAACAGCCGACGAUUGAACUAAUUGAAGGUCAAGUAAUAAAACAGUUCAUGAGUUGCCCAUAGUUUCAAAAUCGUAAAAAUGUGCUUUGCCUAUGUGACAUGUGAUUCCUUACUUCACGUGCCGACGCGACGCAGGAUUCGAGUCAAACCGUAGCAUGCUUGUGAAGUUCAUGACCAAUGCUAAGCCUGUCCAGCUCACAACCAACAGAGCACCUUACGAUAGUAACCUAGUUGAACUCAUCACGAUAGGCCCAGAAAAGUAGGCUUCCUGAGUUAUAAGGACUGUAUCGGAAAUUAACUAUAAACGUUCACCAUUGCCUAAAAAAUAAUCUAUUCGAAAUAAACAUAAUUUUAUUUUUGGAGAUACUAUAUAAAUCUUUAAAAUAAAGAAUGGCAGUUCUGAUUUUCAAAAAAUAAUCGUUUAACUUGGACUUUCAUCUCAAAUAUUGCACAUAUGUUUUUAAAAUUUUGGACACCACCUAAAAAUUUCAAAUAGCGAAAACUGUGGAAAAAUAUUCAAUUUUUUCUCUUAUUUUUGCGCAGAUAUAUUCUUUUCCAGAAUGCUCAUGAUAUAGGAAAAUUAUUUUUAUCAAGAAAAAUUUCCUCCGUGGUUUAGCGCAAUUCCUAAAAAUGAAAAAUGGCCAUUUUUCGAGGACCUCUUUUUUAUGCGACUUUAAAGAACAAUUACGCAAAUAAAAAAUACAUAAAGUAGAAAAUUCGCAUUUUUUUCAAUUGGGCAUGUAUUUAAAUUUAUUGAAGAGGAAGUUUUACCAGAGAACGGAAUUUUAUAACCUCUGAAGAUAUUUAAAACAGAGCGUCAAAGUUCGACCAAAAAGUAGGUGUUCUUUGGGUUAAGGUACACCGGGGCAAGUUGAAACACGAAGUUUUAUAACAGAUUUCAAUACAAUUUGGUAAUUUAUCCUUCGUUAAAAGAUUGUUUGAAUAAAAAACUAUGUGUUAUGGCGAUCAAACUGUUUAUUAUCAUUAGAAAACAUCAUGUUAACCCGCUGUUUUAUCUUGCCCCACCCGUUUCAACUUGCCCCGGUGUACCUUAGGCCAUUUUCUACAUGACGGAGGAGUUUCUAUCCAAAAUAAGAAUUUUAAAAGUCGGUAUUGAGUGAUAUGUUAUGUGUACAUAACUGCUAGUAAUAAUCAUCAUUUUCCAGAUUUUCCCCGUACAAAUUAUUUUCGCUACAAAUUAUUGAAACGUUAAAAAGAUUUUAGAAAAUUGCCUUUUGUACAGAUUUUUAUUUUGUGUGGUGUACUCAUAUAACCAUAUUUUCAAUAAUACUAAACAUUUUCCAAAUUUGUUCAAGCUGUUCUAAACCUAACUAUAUUGUGAAGAUUUCAUAGAAGAACCGAAAAAAAAAACCAACCAUGCUUCGAGAUAGAGCAUUUUGAAUGUUUAUAGUUAAUUUCCGAUACAGUCCUUAUACUCAGGGAAAAAACUAACGGAAUUCAUCAAAAUACCAUAUGAGUUUUUGCCAUAACUAAAAAGUAUGGGUGUCCUAAGAAUACCUUAUGAAAAUUGAUCGUGAUUGUUAUGACAAAUUUCAUAAGAUAGGCUUAUAACAAAAUACGAAUUUUCAACUCGAACGUGAAAUCUGUGCUGCUAUGCGCCACUGAAACCUGGUGUGUAUCAGCGAAUAUCACUCAACGACUGCUGGUCUUCAUCAAUACAUGCCUGCGGUAUAUUGUUCGUGCAGUUGAAAAUCGGAAUUUUCGACACGCGAAAUUCAAUUUUUCUGCUAAACCGUGUGUCGGACGUACGUCGGGCACAGUGCGCUGGAUAGAGGGCCAGAUCCGCUGUCCAGCGCACUACGUCCGACGUUAGGUUUCACGUAUGGAUUUUGAGAAAAUUAGAUUGUCGGGUGUGGGGUAUCUUCGGGUUUCAACCGCGACGACAAUAUAAUUCGUGCAUGGUGGCCUCACAAUUGGAUCUCCAACGUGGAGCUCCAUCGUCAAUGUCAUCAAAAGCCGAUAGCGACAGAAAUUCUGGAGCGAAAGUGGAGGUGGGUCUGCCACACUCUACGCAGGGGCGGAAACGAAAUCUGCAAGCAAGCGAACCCAGCAGGACAUCGCAACAGAGGCAGACCCAGAGGCUCGUCAGAAAUCGACAGAAAUUUGACCUGGCCACAGGUCAAGACGAUGGCUGGCAAUCGCCCAGGAUCGGAAUCUUUCAAUUCGGCCCUCUGCACCACCGUGGGUGUCCAGGACUGAAAGUAGUAAGUAGACUUAUAAAAAAAGCAAAAAAAAAAUAAAUAAAAUGAUGCAGACUGGAUUCGAUCACUGAGCUCUUUUUUAAUCCACACAGCAAUUGACGCUUGAGGGUACCAUGUAGCUAAAUAUGUAUAAAAGCCAAGUUGUGAGUCGAUUCUGCGUCAUAGAACAACAUUUUAUGAAAUCCAUUCUAAUCAUGAAUUAUUUAAAAGCCGUUUCAAAAGUUAGGCGUUAUGAAAGUCUUAGGUUAUCUCGAAAAAGUUUCGGGCAAUUUGGCCUACAAAAACCCCCAUGACGAAGAGAGCAAACCUGUCGAUAAUACCCAAAGCCACCCUGCAUGAGUUUGCAUACUUGACCAAUUCUUGGUACCUAUGCAAGAAUUACAUGUAGCUCAUGUAGGACAUAGGUUAAAGACGGGAACCUGGAAAAUCCUCGAAUUGUUGAGGAACUCAGCUGUGAAUCUUUGUUUUUUUUCUGAACAAAUUCCGGGCUGUAAUUUUUGGAGUUUUUCAUAACACCGUUUGCUUGAAGAAAUCUAUGCAACAAUUUACUAGUAAAAAUCAAAUUUUAAAAGCAAAAUCCCAUAUCAAUUAUUGAAUUGUCCGAAAAAAAAAAUGUUUGGUAAACUUUUAGUAAGUAUGAUGAAGUUCCUUGAACGAUCUCUGGCGAAAUCCGUGAACACAUUUCCAGCACUAUAGGUAAAACUUCAAAAUGUAGAUUCAAUGGGGCAAGUUUUGCAACGAGUUGCAUACAUUUUUCGCUGUGGUGAAAUUAGGACCAUUUCUGUUUUAUACCACAAUUUACGAAACAAUAUGAGUUUUUUGACUGCAUUUUUCGCAUCGAUAAAAUCAACUUGUGCAGAAAAAACAUCAGUGCUCAACAUUAUCGUUAAUUUAAAACUCAUCAAGACUUUCUUAGCCACCGUCUUGGCGCACAUCCGCCAUGUGAUCAUCAUUCAAAGAAUGGGGAUUCCCCAGAAAUUACCUCGAAAGAAGGAAAAAAAAAAUAUCACAUCAUCUCAGCCUCGCUGCCGACCAUGGCACCACCAGAGACAAGCAGACAUAUCAAUUAGAACAAAUUGCGUUCAAAACUACCAUCACGAAAUCAUAAUUGCCCAACAUUACUCACGCUGUGUUUCUUUAACCGCUCACUAGGUGGUGAUAAUAAGCAAACGUCUAACAAGAGUAAAGACGAUGCAAACGCCAUGAGUGAUCGAUUGACGGACUACAGAAUAUUUUUUAUAAUCAACCCUCAAGAAUCAAGAUGAAUGUUGGGGGAUGUGCGCAGAAUGAGAAAUUUGUUUGUCUGUGGCACAACCAGUGACAAUUCAAAAUAUUUGCUCGCUCUUCAUCCGCGUGAGUGAGCAGGUGAAGGAAAGGAGCUGAGCCUAGAGCUGAGCUGAGUAGUGUAGCCGGGUGGAGAUAUGCACAGCGUCUCGUUGCGUAGAGAUCUUGGUAGGCGAUAAACGCGGAACGAAAAUCAACGCUUUCUAGAUGUGGUGCGGUGUGCUGAAAUCACGAUACUGGUUUGAUGAAACAACGGAAGCACAUCAACAUCGUGAGCUGACAGCCAACGGUCACGUGUGAUAAGAACUCAAUGAGUUGUCUGUCAGUACCUUUCGUUACAUUGAAUAUCGAUACCAGGUUGUGGGGUCUACAUUAGGUUGUGAAAUCAUACAAUCAUGUGCGAAUUGAGUUUCAUGAAAAAUUCAAAAAUUAUUAUUAUUAUUAUUAUUAUUAUUUACUAGCUGUCCCGGCAAACUUUGUCUUGCCAGUCUUAUGGUGGUUUGACAACUGUUGAGGUUGUCGCAGCAACGCACUCUAGAUUGAUUUCUUUUAGAUCACGCCAAAUUUCUUCCCGGUUCAUCAAAAAUCAGUAUUUUCUCAAUUUUCAUAUUUUUUUUUGAAGGAUUUUCGUAACUUUUUAUACAUAUAACCACAGCCACCAUGAAUACGAAUCGAAACGUGCAAGGGUCAUGCUGAUCGGUUCGGCCGUUCGUUAGUUUUGUUGCCUCAAAGGAACUACAAACUCAUUUUUAUAUAUAUAGAUUAACGACACUUUACCAUUAUUGUGGCAUUCGUGUCAUUCAAAAACUAUGGUUUAUACUCAAAAUAUGGAUAAAUAAUUAACCAUGGAGACUUUCGUACUAAUAAAAAUCAGUCAAUGCAUGGAUGCCGUUGAAGUAUAGAAUAGUAGAAGCGGUAGACGGUACGUUGUGAAAGGGAUCAACAACAAAACACGUGUUAAGGAAUCAACGUUUAUAGUCAUAACUGCUAUGAUAUUGCCGCAGUCGUGUUCUAAUUUAUAUCAUGUCUAUCUUGUACAUGUGGAGGAAGAGGAACCGAAUAUACGAAAAUACAACAUAAAAGGCAAUCCCAUCGGAGUCAUUUUCUGUUAGCUGAACACAUACAAAUUUCCGCCAUGUGGAGCGGAGCACGUAGCGAUACGGAACAGCUGAUUUUGCCAGCCGUCGUCGGUCGUGGCGAUUGACAUCCCAUCCAGAUUGACUACCGCAGAUAAGUAUGUCAAAUGCACAAUCAUGACUAUCAUUCAUCAAGUCACGUAAUAACCAAUUUCGUCAUGAUGCAUCAUUCUUGUGAGAAAGUUUUCAAGAAUCGUGGAAAACGCUGUAUGUUUGAAAUGCCUACUAUGAUUUCUACUACAUGGCUUUUGUCUUCUGAAGACAAUGGAGCAAACUAAAUCCAAGGAUUGAUCAAAAGGAUCAAAAGCAUAAUUCCGAAAUUAUUGAAAAUUUGUGAUUUACCAGCAGUUAAAUCAAUAUUAAAAGCAACCACCACAUUAAAGCUGUUAAUCACUUGCAUUAAAGCUGUCUAAAUAUGCUUUUACCUAUCCGUCAACGUCUUGUCACAGGUGAACAGACAUAAAUCUUAGUAGAAAUUGAUAGACUUUUUUUUGUUCAAUAUAUUUUUAAUGAUUACGCUGCCAUCUGCAAAUCGCUUGAAGUUUUCGUCUGCAUCAUUCAGCAACGUGUACACUAGUAAACGUCAAAACGAAUGGACACUAGCGCCUCAGAUGGAACAAUCGCGAAAAUCAAACGUUAAAGUUAGUUCAACGUUAAAUUCAUAUAUCAAGCUCUUUUCAAGAGGUUGACGUCUGUUUAUCUGCAGUGUAGUCGUUGAAGCGGUCCCCGCUGGGAUCGAUAACCCCAUUUUUCUACUUUUGAAUGAACGGCGGCAGCCGACACUCGCCUCUUCUACACAUCAAUGCCCAUUGCAGUGCAUCAUCGCAGUCAGUGGGGUGGUCGAUGCAACCAUUCCACGUGUAUGAAAUGUAGGCUCGUUCCCGAUAACACACACAUAACCUAAUUUAGAUAUUGGACCAGGCCGGGCUAACUAAAAAACUUCGAAUGACGAAUCCCGUUCGGUGCGCACGUGGUGCUGGGUGAUUCAUGUAUCAGAAUUGCACCAGUUCGUUACAAUUCCCAUCGGGAUUGGGUCCCACAUGUUUCGCCGUGUAGGUAUUUGAUAAAUGUCCAGGAGCGACAGACGGUAAUUAAAUUUCUCUUGGGCUUUGAGUUGUACUACUGGCACGGUUCACAAAUCGAAAUCGAUUAAAUAUGGACAGGAAGAAAAAGGUGAAAUAUUGGAAGCUAUGUUGCAACUUCUAUUGUGAUCGAUGGACGUAAUUUAAAGCGUGUGAGCUGGAUAAGUAUAAUUGCAUAUUACAAAUGUAACGAUUAAUAUCAGAGAAUUAAUUGCGGUUGAUAACGAAGGAAUACGUUGAAAUGAAAAUAUGCUAUCCUUAGUAGCAUUUUUUAGGCAAAUAGACUUGAAGAGGUUCUUAAAACCACAAUAAAACCAAAAUAAAAGGUGUUAGGUUUAUGGCGGUUUUAAAAACCUCUAAAUGGUUAUCAAAAUGCUACUUGGGAUAUUGGAAUGGGUUUCGGCAUUUGCAGUCGGAAGACCAGCUAAAACGUUAUUUUUACUCUGAUCCGAAGUUUCGGGCCUUUAACCCAUUCUGUAAGGUACUCCACAAAUCAAAAGCAACAAAUAUAACACAUUACACUUCCAGAAUCCUCUGAAAAAGGACCAAUAAAGGCUCGAAACGUCGGAUCAGAGUAAAAAAUAACGUUUAAGCCGGUCUCCGGACGGCAAAUGCCGAAAACCAUUCCAAUAUAAGUUUUCACAGUCGAUAGCCCCCAAACUACUAAAAAUAUGCUUGCAGAAAAGUUGCGCCUGUUUUUGUGAAGUUUAAUAUUUCGGUUUAAUUAUUGUGCGUUGCAUGAAAAACACGAUUAUGGCAAAGUGUUGUGGUAGAUUUAGUUCUGUGAAAUUGGCAACACUGAGUGGAAAAGUAAAAAAGAGAAUUUGUUGAACGGAAUCAGUUAUUGUUUGGAAGUAGGAUCGUUUGCAGACCGCGAACAAUACUAAGAUCAUUGAAGCUGCUACACCAAAAGCUGCUAUCAAUAGGUGUUGGAGCGGGGCCAAAAGAUAUCCGUAACCAUCAUGAUGGUUAAACAUUCAAUUGCGGUGCAAAUACCACGUGCAGUCGCAGCAGUCAUCACAUGUCCCGGCCAUGUGGCGACUCUUUUUCAAGAAUUAUCAAAGAGCACUUUGACGGAAAAUUUGAAAACAGGUCUGUUUCCUCAGGCGACUGUUUUGCGCGUAUCUUUGUUUGUGGGUAGUAGUCGACAAAGUAGAUUUUAUUUUGAUUGGUAUAAUAUCAAGUAUAAUAUCUUAUGGCGUCUUUAAGGCUUUCUAAAGGUGCCAUUUUUGGAAUGUUUGUCAUUAUGCCAUAUUUUUGCCAUUGAAGUCCGACAUUUACCCAAGGUUGCUAUGAUUCACGUUGUGUUGGUCUUUGUUGGGCUUGUUUGGCCAAAUAUUUGUCACGUCUAACGGGACCUUAAGUGUCCGUUUAUGUUAAUAAGAAUCGUUGUGUAUCAAGACCUACUGUGAGGGGUUACAACUACGAUAGGAUCGAAGUCUGAUAAAAUUUGAGGUUCAGUUUAUGGUCUGCUGGGAUUACCACAUAACUUUGGCAUUACGGUAUGACUAUGUGGAAAAUUCAGUGUGAAUUUAAUUAUGAUUUUGGCGAGUAUUUUCAUGUGCAUGUGUAGAAAAUUUAGGUGUUAUUUUGGGAGAGGUAUCCGUAGGAAGUGGAGAAAAAAACCGCUGUUUUUUCCAGAACUAUUGGCACGACGAUUGAAUAAGUUACUACUGGGCCUUCUUCAAUAGUCGAAUUAUUCGAAAUUACAGAAAGAACUCCUGGAGAAACCCCGGAAAGUAUACCUUGGAAGAAUCACAGAAGAUCUGGAGAAACCCGGCAGUAUUUCCAGAAUGAAUCCAUGAACAGCAAUACACAAGGAAGCCCUCAAAGUUUUUCGGAUGGAAUUCCUGGAACUCCAUCCAUUGUAAACAAAUUCUAAAAGAAAUCGUAAAAGAAUCCCGAGGUACUCUUGGAGAAAUCCUAUAAGAAGAAAAACUCAAAAACGGAUUGUUAAGUUUUCAUCCGACGUUCCGGUCACUAUAUUGUGUCUUUCUCAAGGAAUUAACUAUGCUCCGUUCUCUCGUAACAUAGGCCGAGGGUUAAAAAUUCCUCCAGGAGUGCCUUCUGAGAUUUAUCCAGGAAUUCUCCAUAGGAUUCGACCCUGAAAAUGUUCCUGGAUCCUUUCUAAGAUAUUUAUGCAAGAGGUCCUUCUGCGAAUCCUCCUGGAGUUGUGUCUGGGAAUCUUUCCUGAAUUCCUCUAGGUGUUCCUUCCGGGAUUUCUUCAGGAAUUCAUUUUGUGAUUCCUACAAGAACUUCAACAAGAAGCUCCGAAUGGGAUCUCUGAAGGAGUUCCAGAAAGAACUUCUGGAGAAUUUUCGGAAGGAAUUUUUUUAUGAAUCUCGGAAGGUAUUUAUGCAGGAAACUCAGAAAAAAGUCCUGGAAAAUUUGUGAAACUCCUGGGAGAUUUCCGGAAGGAGUUCUUGCAGAAAUUUCUGAAGAAAUCCCUGAUGUAAUGCCGUAAGGAUAUACUGAAGGAAUUCCAGAUUUAACCUCUUUAAGUUUCUUUUAGAAGAAACUCCUGAAAGAAUUCCAGAGUUGGCUUCUGUUGGAAUGAUGGCAAAACCAUUGGAAUAAUCUUGAGUUAAUCCGGAAUCACGAUAAAAAUCCAGGGAGGUUUAGAGAAAUUUUCUGAAACGAUUCCGGAGGUAUUUUGAAGAAAAAAUCAUGUCACUUUUACAAUAAAAAAUGGGUGUUGUUAGGGGGAUUAGGGGCAUAAUGGACACCCGGGGCGAAAUGGACACCCCUGUUUUUGCCGAAACCGUUGACUUUUAUGUAAAACUUUUAAUGCAUAAGUGUAAAGGAACAAGUCAUUGUUCUAUUUUUCAAAAGUACCAUUUAUAUUCCUUCAAAAUAACCAAAAUAUCAUUGAAAUUGAAGAAUGUUUUUCAUAUGGUGGAUUUCUUAUAAUUUCGAAGCAGCAGCAAAUUAGUUCGAUUAUUUUAGCCUAAAACUUAUUUAAUUAACUUUGAUGUUAUGUAAACUCGUCUAAGAUGGAGUAUUAUAUCUGUGGUAUUGAUCUCCGUAGGCAAAUUACUUAACUGGUCGAUAUUAUCAAAGAUACAGCAUAAAAUAUGCAGGGGUGUCCAUUAUGCCUUGAUGGGUGUCCAUUUCGUCCCGUACCUUUCCUGCCAGCCCCGAAAAACAUUCGGUUUACAAUUCAUUAUUUCUUCACAAUAUUGACAUUCUACCUGCUGUAAAUGAUUAAAAUACGUAGGAAACAAGUUAAAGUUGUAAGCCAACUGAUAAUAUGUUAAGUUUUUGUCUGUUAUACAGGCCCAACAUACUCAUUUGCUUAGGGUGUCCAUUAUGCCCCUAAUCCCCCUACUAGGGUUGUUAUGUAUCUUUACCAUAAAAAAAUCUUAAUUUUCUGGAGCAAAGUCAAGUCAACUACCAUUCAAUUUAUGGUGUUUUAUUAUUGAAAUCUCUAGUGCCAUUGAUUUUAUUGUGCACGUAUUGUAGUUCCAAUACAGCAUUUUCUUCAGGAAAAUACGUACACAAUAUAAUUUGGUGUUGAACUGUCAAAUUUAUCAUUAUUCAAUGGUAGUUUAUGAUGAUUUUAUUGGAUUUUUUUUUAUCAUGGGGCUGAUCCAGUAGUACACAAAUAUGUAUGAAUUGUACACAAAACUGUGUUGUUUCGUUUUAGGGUGUUGAAUCCCAGAAUCUCACCAGCAAGUCAUUAAUAAGCGCUUAGGGUAAACAGGUAUAAUAUGCCCCCCUAAGCAGAAAUGGCAAUAUAUCUGAAACUGGCGCCUUAUUCCAUCUAUUGUUCACUGCAAAUCGUUGUUUCUAAAGUUAGUGAAGUGUUGCAUGCGAACUUUGCCUUUGGAGAGGUAGCUAUGGAAGCUUUGAAACGUUUUUCGUAAACGUUCCAAAAUUUCCCUUUUCAAAACAAACGGGGCAAUACGCCCCAUCAAAAGAAAAACGUCCAGCCCCGUCAUAAAACUGUCCCAGGGGAUAAUUCCACCACAUGCUUAUCCUAGGAGGGUCUUUCAACAAGGUUUUAACUGCAUAAAAGUUGCAAAGUAACACAAGCGAACAGAACUAGCUACGUUUACAAUGAAGUCAGCUCACAAGAGGUAAAAUAUUACGCCAAAAGCCUCGAUUUCAGACUUUUUGAUAUUUUUAUUGCUUUUCUGCACCAAUCCACUAACGGAUUAGCUUGAUGGCAAUAAUUCUUCAAUAUUUGAGAUUUCUAAUCGAUCACGCAUGCGAAAAGCGCUUGAAUCGCUAGAAAAUGAAGAGUGGCGUUUUGCCCCGGUGGGGCGCAUUAUACCCUUUUACCCUAUUUUGAAUUCAAUCACACUACCCAUAAAAAGCCAACGAUUUUUUUUUCCAAAUCGUCAAGGACAUUUGCAUAGCAACCCGCCCGCUUUCAGUAUCCUAGGCAAUUCAACACAAAGCUUAAAAAUCAAGUUAAAAAUGCAGGUGGCGCUUUUCUAAAACAGCUAUUUACGCACCAAAUGACUAAUUACUUAUGAUACAAAUAUAAGACUUGCAAUUAUUGCAGAAUUUGGUGACUUUUACACAAUGUAUUGAUCAGCAAUAUGGUAUUUUUGCUUCCCAAGUUGACAAUUUUUCGUUACCUAAUCUCACAUCUAUUCGCCAUUGUGUAUACUGCGCAUAAGCACUGAUUCUUGCGUUAAUAUUAAAAUCUCAACAUCUCAACGCAACUUUCAUGUCCACAGCCUACUAAGCUCUUGGUGAUAUUUAGGAUAAGCCUCUCACUAUAUUUAUUGAAUCGAAUUCGUCCCGGUACAGUGUCGGCAUUCACUACAUUAGCAUACUAAAUGAUGAUUACCGUUUAAUGAUAUGUUUAACAUUAACAACCCCUAUAGUCCCCGAAACGCCUCCUAAUUUAUCCGCUGAAUCACUUUUGUAUGCAAAAAUAUACAAAAUCCCCGAAGCAACGAAUUUCUGUCAAACAAACAUGAUUUGCAGUGUUGACCAUCCGCGCGCCCCCGUUUGGCAUUCGGGUGGCAUUCUUUUUCCUUCCCCCAUAUUAUUAUAUAUACUCUCAACAUCCGGACACGCAAAUUGAUUUGCAACCGGACAGCGGAAUCCCACUCACCCGAUGAGCAGCGCACUCAACAACGCGCCAGCAACGAACCGAAGAAUUUCUGGAAUGUUAAAUACUGGCGACAACGACAACGGCCGGCGCCUCCCAUCAGCAGCCCCGGGAAGAGUGGAAAACACAUAGCUCACCCACCCCCGUCUCCGCGCACACAGUGUCGUGUUCGGCGAAUUUUCACCUCUCGCUCGCGUCGCGAUCGUUAAACAGUGUGAUUGAUCUUCACCCCUUGGCGUCCGUGUCGAGUCGGCGGCAGUGUUCAACGCAGAGAAGAUCGUCUCUGGCUGGCAGUGUUUUGCAAAAUGGUGGAAAUAUUGUCGCGCUCUUUAUCGUCCUCGUGGUAAAGGUGGUGGAUCACAGUGGGCGAUUUGUUCGGCUAGAAAUGUUCGUGGCUUUUUGAGAAAGGAGGAUCAUCAGGCAGCGAUGUUUAACCAUCUUUUUCAGUAGCUCCCACUGUGCAGUGGCAUGUCUUGAUGAAGGUGGCAACUACCGACAGAUGAAGAUGUUGUUAAGUCCGUUUUUCUUAAUGGUUCUCAUGAAAUAUGAUAUAUCUACAUAAUAUUCGUUUGCAGUUUGUCAUUCUUGGGUACAAGUAAUGAGCUUUUAAGAAGCAAUUAAAAUUCAAGACUUCUUAAUUUGUAACUUGAUUGUAACUGAUUAUCUGAUCAAGACUUCUCGGAAACCAUACGUCAGAUCGCGAUUUCGAAUUUAAUCGGUCAUCUCCGGCUUCGACAAUGACUGAAAUAAAGCCACAACCGGAUGAUGUUUUGUGAUGCGUGUGCAAACGUAUACACGAUGUCGUAAAACCUGUCAGUUCGUGAGAAAAAGUGUAUUAGUAGUGAGAUACCUUGUAGGUACCUAUAGAACCACAUGGCUCCUUUGCGUGUUACAUUUUUGAGUGAAACGUCAUUAACAAUGAUAUGUUAAGAACUCGCGCGACUCGGGUAAUAAACCUCAAAACGUAAACCGGUAGCAGCCUCAGUCAGUGUGGCCCACGUCUGAAACAAUGACUUGUUGGCUCACUCUCGGCUUUGCGGUCAACUCAGCUCAGCAACUCAGUAGUCAACAAUUUCGAGCUCAGAUUGAUUGCAGUGAGAAAUUGUUUAUCAAUUUACCCACGAUCUCGCUCGGUCGCUCAUUAGCGCACGGCCGAGUAGCGCUAUGAAACGCAACGCAAGGCAAACCAAUCGAACCGAACGCGCCACCGCUAAUGAGUGAUGACGCGAAAAUUAUGACGUUCGCUGCAGUCAUUUGCUCGACCGAUCAAAGCAAUCCGCGACAUCAUAAAACAAAAAAACUGAGUGAAGGGUGAUAACGACGAAAGAGUGGGGGAAAAUGUUCGUGAUUAAUCCAUUUACUGGAAUCUUUGCGUUCAUCUUAGGAAUAAGGAUGAAGUGCCGAAAAAAAAACAAAUUAUACCUUUUUGUGUAUUCAUUUAUGUAUAUUUUUACACAUGCUAAUUAUACACUCCAAAUUAUACAGUCGAGUCUCCUAUUAGACGCUACUACCCACUUUACGCCCACUGCAAUUUCUCAGCUGUCUUGCAUCCAAUCCAGCUGAUUUUUUUCGUACAUCAAGUGCUUACUAUAGACUAGGGUGGCCCACACUUAUAUGAAAAACAAAAACUUCGAAAAUUACCAAGUCUUACCUCCUAAAUCAGUUACUUUGGACUCCCAGAAGUAACGUUCAAAAUUUGAGCAAAAUCGGUUGAGCCUAAGGGGGCGCUCAAAACGCUUGAAGUUUGUAUGGGAAAACUUAGCCAAAUGUAUGCAGAAAUUUUAAGUUUUCGAAUUUGGCCGCUAGGUGGCGCUGUAAGCGUUCAAUAAAUAAACUCUUUGGUAUUAUUGUAGGUGACUAUAUGCCAAAAAACUUUGUCGAAGACCGCGAAGUGAUCCGACGACUGUGAAAAAAGUUAUACCCUAGGCAAAGUGAGGCAAAGUAUUGAGAUUUCAUUAUUGAUAUUAUUCCUUUACAUGUAUUGGAAAAACAACAAUAAAGUUUAUCCUCACUUUACCUAGGGUAUUACUUUUGUCACAGACGUUGAAUCACUUUGCGGUCUUCGACAAAGUUGUUUUGCAUAUAGUCACCUACAAUAAUACCAAAGAGUUUAUUUAUUGAACGCUUACAGCGCCACCUAGCGGCAAAAUUCGAAAACUUUAAAUUUCUGCAUACAUUUGGCCAAGUUUUCCCAUACAAACUUCAAGCGUUUUGAGCGCCCCCUUAGGCUUAAUUGGUUUUGCUCAAAUUUUGAACGUAACUUCUGGGAGUCCAAAGUAACUGAUUUAGGAGGUAAGACUUGGUAUUUUUCGAAAUUUUUCUUUUUCAUAUAAGUGUGGGCCACCUUACUAUAGACCCAUCACAUACAAAAAAUGAACUGAAUUGGUUAGAAGACAGCCUAGAAAAUGCGAUGGGCCUAGAGUGGGUGGCAGCGUCUAAUAACUUGACUGUUCCUGUCUCUGUAUUAUACUCUAAACCAGGGUGAGAAAUUGUCAUUUGAUUAUUUGCCAAUUUCACAGCAUAGUCAAAUUUCUUGUACAUUACGAGAUUUUGGCUUAGAGCAGGGUUAGAAAAUAGGCCAUAUGAAUAAAACUGAGUAAAAACUUUUUACUCAGAUCUCUGUAAAGAUUCUGUAACGAGCUAUUAUUGAGUAGUUCAUAAUAUUAGAUUUUGCUAUUAUUUCUGAUCUUCUACCUCUUAUAUCAAUCUAGCCAAUAUCAGUUUUUGGUCUUCAGUAAUUCAAUCAAUUAACUGAAUAUGCUAUUCAUCAGAUUUUUCCACCUACUCGGGGUGCUAACAAAAUUUUUGCAAUGGCAUCUGGAAUUUCUGAUGAAUUUAUGUAGAGAUUCGUGGAGGAUGAGCUCAUGGAAAUUCCUCUGUGAAUUCUUUCGGAAAUUUUAUCCAGGCAUUCUUACGUAAAUCUUUUCUGAAAUUCACAGGAAAAUUCUCUAAAGAUUCAUUUCAUCGGAAGUUUCUUAACAGUCAUUUUGUAGGACUUCUGCAAAGCAUUUCUCCAACAAUUCAUUGGAGAAUUGGUCGGGGUUCUGCUAAACCGAUCCAAAGACCAUUUUUUUAAAAAUUGAGUUUUCUUAACCAUCGGGUGAAGAAAAUGAUGAUUUUCCUUCCAUGUAAAAAUCCAGUGAUUCUGUCAGCUCUUCGUGGAGUAAAUUCUAAAUAUCUGUUUGGCAGAACAUACAAAACAAUAUUUUGCAUCCAACCAGAGUGAACUGUAAACCAUUCGAUAGAAUCGAAAUAUUUUAGUUUUGGUCCAGGUGUUGACGCACCGUACGGACGAAUAGGCCCUUUAGGUAUGCCGUCGAUUGGAGACAACCGUCACAACCAAGGUUGUUAAUCGAUAAAUUAUCGUUAUCGACGAUAAAGUUAACGUCUGUUAUCGUUUAUCGUCGAUAACGAUAACGUCUUCAGGCGGAAACGUCAUCGGCGAUACAGUUAACUGUGGAAGUUAUCGACUCGAUAACGUCUCCGAAAAAUUUUCUUCGCGAACUGAACCGUUGUUGAUGCCGUCACUAGGGUAACUAGAUUUAUCGCAAAAUUAUCGAAGGUACGUUGAUCUGCGCGUUGAUUUAUCGUUUGAUUAUCGUUAUCGAGAGAUUAUCGAGUUUCCUUUAUCGUUAUCGAGUUUGCGUUGAGUUAAUUGUCGAUAAUUUAUCGGUUAACAACCUUGGUCACAACGACAGCUGUUAACGUCACCGCUUCGCUUGUGAAGAAAAGAUUUUUUCCUUAUCAUUGUUGACAGUAUCGUGGACGAACUGUGCACACAAAAUAAUAGUAUUACUAUAUAGUUUCCUAAAAUUUAUCCUGAAUUAAUAUAAAAAUCUGCACUAGAACUAGAAUCGAUAACCAGAAUUAUAAUUCGGUUCAGAACAGGUAUAUUUAGCUUCCUCAAUUCGAUCUCUUAUCUAUCAUCAUAAUGAAUCUUCUUGUGUAUCAAUUUAAUAGACGCAGUACAUUAUUGCUAGCGAACAAUCAAUCCAAAAUCCUGCUUCUAUAAUUCUGUAUAAUUGAUUGUAAGUAUCAAAAAUUAUAAACUUACGAAACGAAACGGAGCUCUGAUUAAAACCAACUACAACAGGUACCAGACAGCAGUGCAUAGUGUUUCGGAUUAGGGCUCAUUGCGUUCCAAUAACCGCUAAACUAUAUUGUAAGUGUCAAUCCUAUAUCUUAUAAACAAUUAUAAUAAUGAAAUAUAAUUACAGUCGAGUCUCGCUACGCUCAGACUACGGAAAAGUUUAAACAAAUGAUGAACAUUUCAAGUUCUCCUCAACGUAGUCAGAUUUCUAACUUCUAACCGACUCAUAGUAACAAUCUAUGAGAGAAAUGAACAAGUUAUUAAGAAUAUGGGUAUUGGAGGACCCAAUUAUGUUUCGAUGGCGCUGAUCGCCCUUUUUCCAAAUCACAGACCGAACCAAGUCCAAAGCAUUUUAGAAUCAAUUUAUUCUCAACAAUACAAAGACAAUAGAACUCCACUAGAACUUCAAUGGCGCUGAAGUCACUUUUCCUUUUUAAUUAUUUUAAUAACUUUAAUUGUAAUAAAUGACUAUUUUCAAGUGUCCAUCUUGUAGAGGAUCUUUUAUUUGGGUAAACAAAAUUUAUUUAACACUUCUAGUACCGCUAGUGACGCUGUAAGGUCGUGGCAAACUAGAUGUUAGUCACACGAAUAGUCGCGACAUUGGACUUCUGUGGCUAGUUAUUCUAAAUCAAAGACCAACUGGUUUUGAAUACCUGCUUCAUGUCGUUACACCUCAUACUGAUAAUUUAACACAGGAGCCGUCAUUGAACAAAAAGGCUAGAAUAAAAGCUUGAAAAAAUCAAACACAUGGUUCGCUUUGGCUGAUCGAAAAAUGGCGUUUUCAUGAAACCAUCUUUAAGAAGAAUGUUUAGAACUUGAUUCAGACUUAACGACUGACCUUCAGCUCGGUAAUAUGACCUAGAGGUAACGCGCUUGGUUAUCACUUAGAUGAUCCAAGUUCGAAUCUCUUUAAUAUUUUUGAAACUUUUUUGUACUUAGAACAUUUUCAUGGUUUUCUUCGACCAGCAUAAAUUUGAAGUACACACAUUGCUUCACUUUCACAUCUCAGGACCUCAGGGCAUGCAAGGACAUCAUUUGACAUAAUUACUCUUGCUCUAUGCCAGCACAUGCACCGCUUAUGAAAAAAAAAGCAUGGGUGGGAAGGGCUGAGCUGGGAGGGCUUCCGCCGUUCAUAUUUCAAACUAUUACGAGACCUCCGUGCUACCAUACUCUACUCGUCCUCUCUGAUUCAUGUAAGCGAUCGUGAGUGAUACCGAUUUCAACUUAAUAGACGAUGAAAAAUCGAUAUUUUUUUUUCACAAUCCAACUGGUUUUGUCUGAAACAAAAAACACAUCCAGCCAAACUGAACUAUAAACCAUUCUCUAAUGUUUUUGAUCAGCCAGAGUGAACUGAGUGCAAAGUACCGAGAAAUAAAAUGUAAUUAUAUCAAUGAAUUCAAAUAAUUUACAUGUAUUCUUCAUCUCUGAUGGUUAAUGAAGGCUUGUAAGUUAUAUGUAUGCGGAAAAGUUUCAAAUAAUCUUCGCUGUUAUUUAUUUGUAAGUGGUUGAACUUUAAGUUUAAUUAUUUCGGAAUAAACUUUUUGGCGCUUAGUUCGGUUUAGCAGAACCCCGACCAAUUCAUCCAGGAAUUCCACCGCGAUUAUAAGGGGAAUUUCUUUAUGAACCAUUGGAGUAUUUUUUGAGUAAUUUGUAGAAUAAUUCUAGACAUUUCUUCAGAAAUUCAUUUAGGAGUUCUUUUGCAAACUUCUCCAGUUUUUCACCCGAGUUUUUAAGUAUUCUUUGCAGAUUUUUUACAGCGGUUCCUUGUUUACUUUUUGAUUCCUGGAGAAAUACCUACAGACAUCUUUUUUGAUAAUUUAUCAAGGUAUUUUUUUCGGUAAUCUAUGGACUAAUACACGUGUUUACUUGCUUGACUUUUGAGCGGAGCGCUGUUAUCUAGAUGGCGGUGGAAACAAGUUCAUUCUAUGUAAACACGGCACCGCUUAAACAUCAAAUUAUUGAACUCGUACAUCGGUCCAUAUACCUAGUGGAGCGGACCUGGUGUGAUGGUUGAAGCAUGUGACUAUCACGCCGAGGACCUUUGAUCGAAUCCCACUCCCGACAAAUCCACAACAUGUGAGUUCUUCCUUCGUGGGUCCCGAGAUGAACUAGCCUAGGGCUGAAAAUCUCGUUAAUACAGAUAAAAAAGUCGGUCCACAAUUUCUAAAUGGAUACUUUGGAGAAUUCGUCUAGACAAUUUCUUUCGAAAAUCAGGCAAUGGAUCUAUCAGAAUUCCUCUUGCAUAUUUAUUUCAUCGACAAUUUAGGUAGUAUUCUAACAAGAAUCAGAGAUAACGUUCUAGGAUUUUCCCAGGAAUCUUUGGAGAAUUUCCUCAUGGAUUUAUUUGGGAAAUCGCUUUUGGGAUUUUUUGGAGUAUUUCUCAAGAGAUUCGUAGCGGAACUCCUCCAGAGAUUGAGGACUUGAGGACUACAUUUAGGAAUUUUAUUGCAAUUUAAUCGUGAAUUUCUCAAGAGUUUCAUCGAGGAAUUUCUCCAUACAUCCGCAACGUUACAGAAAACUGGUUGAAGAUUUUUCCAGGGAUUUCUUCAGGAAUUCAUCCACGAAUCUAUAUACCGUCAACCCCGUUAGUUUGACAGGCUCGAAUGUUAGUCAACCUAUUAUAUGUGGGAAAAAUCGACCCAAAAAACGGAUCUUUUAACGCCGCUGGUUUCGGUACGUGAAGUAGACCAUUUCUGACGUAAAAAAUUACGAGAAAUCGAUUGGUGCUAAUUUCAUUCACCGCACGGCACGGGAAGUGGUCCAUUUUGCCCUUUUUUCAUACAAAAAGAGAAUCAAAAUGUACUUUCAAUCAACUAACACGACUGUAGAUCAUUGAAAAUAGCUGCAACUGUAAUUGGAAGUUAAUAGGAAUCAUCAGAAUAAAUGGAAGAGUCUUUUAAAUGCUUAUUUUGCCCCAUAUGCCCCAACAACUGUCGGAUAUUCACAAUUUUUCCUAAUUAUGAGUGGAUUUUCAAUGUUACUGACAUGAAGUUGAUUUGCUUGGCAUAAACAAAAAGCACUAGAUCUUUUUUCAUCAGAAUCAUCUUCAGUAGUUGUCCAAUUUGCCCCAUUUUGCCCUAUUUUCAUGAAAAAAUGAGAUUCAUAAUGUAUUUAUGAAAAACAAAUACUGCUAUGGAACGUUGUCAGAAAAGGUCAACUUCACGUACCGAAACAAGCGGCGUUAAAAGAUCCGUUUUUUGGGUCGAUUUUUCCCACUGUGCAUUGGUAUAAAUUUGAGCUAGUUAAUCUUUCGCGAAUGUAGGACCAUUCUCGUAAAACACUUUUUUGGACAACUGAUUUUUGAACUGUUAUAUCUCCGAAACCAGUGAACCGAAUUGAAUGAAAUUUUUAACGUUUAUUAUGAGAGAAAAAAAAUGACAUUCCCAAACAUUUUGGCCACCCCCUGUGGUUUACCAGGGAUAGCUAAUUUUAUCUAAUGUUUCUGUUCAGUUGGGAAAUUUUCCUUGUAUUCCAUGGUGAAUUUCUUCUUCAGGGAUUCGAUGGGAGAUACCACCAAAUACCCCUUAUGGAAUUCUUCCAGAACUUCAAUCGCUGAAGACGUCACAAUUCUGCUUCAAUGGAAGAUAUUUUAAUGUAAAUUAAUUGUAUGAAUAUAGGGUAUUGGUUCCCUUAUUAAGCAUGUGGCUCCCAUUUUCAUCCUACGAAAAACAAAGGAUUGAAGCGUUAUUUGUUUUGUUUCAUAUUUUUGUAUUUUUUGUUGUUGUCGGUGCCGUAAUCGCUUGUUUUCGAAUAGGAUGAAUAUGGGAGCGUGAGAUUACUGAUGGCACACAUACCCUAUAUGAAUGCCCGUGUAGCUGCCGGCUUAGAAUAGCACUACGGACCCCCUGGUCCGGGGGUAAAAGUCCACCAAACAGGGAACCCCAAUCCAAGGUGUCAGGCGACCCGUGCUGAUGGAUGAAUGAUUGAGGGGGUUUCAAAGAUGCUCGAUCGUUAACGGAGCCCGUAACGUGGGUAGAUCACCUUUUCGUGUUGAGUUACGGAGUAAAAUCUACCGAAACCUAGUGUCGUCCUGCUUUUCCAAUUUUGGAAUAUGCGUUCUGGCAAUUCAAGGAAUUUUAGUAUUUAGUCCUUGUCACUGGUAUCGUGGUGGCUUACGGUCUCUGAAUAAAACUAAAUUAACCAACUUUACUUUGCAGAUAGUUAAAAACCUCGCCGUUCGAGGCUAAACUUGAUGCAAAGGACAUCAAAUCGGGUUAGGGAGCCAUGUAUGUACUAACUCUUCAAAGGCAGGUAAGUGCUGGUAUGCAAGGAACAUACUAGAAUCCUUAUUACGGAUCAUAUGUUCCAUUAUUGGAAUGGUAUUGCAGCUAAUGUUAAAACCCGGGUUCUAAACUUCUUACUGGGGAGAAUUUAGCAGUAAAACAAGGGUGAUGCUAGGUUUCCGAUGCAUGGCCAAUAUCAGUACUCUUGUUUUGUUUUCUAAGAAAACAAAACAAAAACUGUAUCAAAAUCGAUACUUUAUUGCCCCUCAAUGGCAAUUGAGUAAUGCGACAUGCACUACACUAAGGAUACGGGUAAUGUCACAAUAGAUCUAAAAACUGGUCGCAGUGACAAACCCGAACAGGAAUAAAAAAAAAAUAC